rnacentral:misc_RNA from 1 species
UGAGAUAUUAUCCUUGCUUCCUUUUUGCAGCGCGAGCAUUGAAAGGUACUCAGCUGCUGCUUGAGAUGCCGGAUCAAUUUCUUUGCCCCUUUCAUCCAGAGAUGUAACUCCAUUCUUUUUGUGCCAGAGCAAAAUCUUCUUUCGAGCCACUUCACAGGCUUCAUCAUCUGUCAUGACAUCCCACAAGCCAUCACUUGCUAAAAUAAGGCAUUCGUCAUCUCUAGCUCGAGGAAUAAACAUGACUUCUGGGUCAGGAAUAAUCCACGGUUUCAAAUAUCUAUCACCAAUUGACCUAGACAUAGCAAGAACACCACAAACACGAUGUCCAUUCCACUGAAUCACCUUGCCUCCAGAAGCUUCAAUCCUUGCAUAUUCAUCUUCUCUGUUUGGUUUAUGAUCAACAGACAAUGCCAUUGACUCUUUUCCACGAUAAAGCACUGCUCUUGAAUCACCACAGUUUGCAACUAUGAUAUGGGAUGAACAUACCAAGGCAACCACAGCAGUAGAUCCAACUGUUUCUGGUGCCAACGGCUCAAAAGCAGCAUCAGAAGCGUCACCAUGGCCUUCAAUGGUGCUUCUGGUACCUUUUCCUCCAAUCUCUUCAUCAACGUUAAGAAAGCAUCUAGUGAAGGCUUUUUCCCACUGCACCUGCUGGUGUACUUCCAUGCUCGCAUCAAUUAAAUCAUUUUUAACAUUUGCAAUCUCUUCAGCCAAGGCCCAAUGGAUUCGGUCACGACAGUAGUUAGCAACCUGAGUGCCCCCAUGGCCAUCAUAAACACCAUAAAAAUGACUCGUUAGAUCGGUCAAACUCUCACUUAAUCCAUCAACAAAACGGUCACCAAUAAGCAUCUUGAUAGGAA